CGGGGAAACCUCGUUCUCCUUGCCACAUACAACCAUUUAUAGGAAUAUUACCUACUGUUGAUCUGCGAUAGCGAAUAAUACUACGUAGGACCGGUUACGGAACGAGAUAUUUACUGCCUCAGUCACCAGUGUGGACUUGCGCCUUAAGUGAGGUUGACUUCUCCUCUUAUAAAUAAUAAUUAUGGUAUUUUUGUUAAAAAUUGAUGUAAAAUUGAACCCUCAAAUAUUCUAUAAAUGCUCGCCGCGACUAUAAUGGCACAAUUCAUUCUGUUAAUGAUCGAAGACCAAUCGAUAUAAUGUUCACUCUGGAACCAGGCUGGUAGGAACAAUUUAGAGUGAGAAUUUAAAUUUAAUAUGUUUAUCAAAAAUGUAUGCUGAAUUUUUAAUUUUUUAUC
rnacentral:misc_RNA from 1 species